rnacentral:rRNA from 1 species
GAUGAACGCUGGCGGCGUGCCUAAUACAUGCAAGUCGAGCGCACAGAUGAGGAGCUUGCUCCUCUGACGUUAGCGGCGGACGGGUGAGUAACACGUGGAUAACCUACCUAUAAGACUGGGAUAACUUCGGGAAACCGGAGCUAAUACCGGAUAAUAUAUUGAACCGCAUGGUUCAAUAGUGAAAGACGGUUUUGCUGUCCCUUAUAGAUGGAUCCGCGCCGCAUUAGCUAGUUGGUAAGGUAACGGCUUACCAAGGCAACGAUGCGUAGCCGACCUGAGAGGGUGAUCGGCCACACUGGAACUGAGACACGGUCCAGACUCCUACGGGAGGCAGCAGUAGGGAAUCUUCCGCAAUGGGCGAAAGCCUGACGGAGCAACGCCGCGUGAGUGAUGAAGGUCUUCGGAUCGUAAAACUCUGUUAUUAGGGAAGAACAAAUGUGUAAGUAACUAUGCACGUCUUGACGGUACCUAAUCAGAAAGCCACGGCUAACUACGUG